UCGAUUUGGAGUUUGUUGCCUAGAGUGAUGGGCUCCGAAGCUAACGCGAUAAAUCGACCGCCUGGGGAGUACGGCCGCAAGGUUAAAACUCAAAUGAAUUGACGGGGGCCCGCACAAGCGGUGGAGCAUGUGGUUUAAUUCGAUGCAACGCGAAGAACCUUACCUGGUCUUGACAUCCACAGAAUCUUUCAGAGAUGAGAGAGUGCCUUCGGGAACUGUGAGACAGGUGCUGCAUGGCUGUCGUCAGCUCGUGUUGUGAAAUGUUGGGUUAAGUCCCGCAACGAGCGCAACCCUUAUCCUUUGUUGCCAGCGAUUAGGUCGGGAACUCAAAGGAGACUGCCGUUGAUAAAACGGAGGAAGGUGGGGACGACGUCAAGUCAUCAUGGCCCUUACGACCAGGGCUACACACGUGCUACAAUGGCGUAUACAAAGGGAAGCGAAGGUGCGAGCUGGAGCGGACCUCCUAAAGUACGUCUAAGUCCGGAUUGGAGUCUGCAACUCGACUCCAUGAAGUCGGAAUCGCUAGUAAUCGUGAAUCAGAAUGUCACGGUGAAUACGUUCCCGGGCCU
rnacentral:rRNA from 1 species